rnacentral:sRNA from 1 species
GGAAGGAUCAUUACCGAAUUGUCAACAAGAGUUGUUGCUGGUCCCUGUAUGGGGGCAUGUGCACGCUCUGUUUACACAUCCACUCACACCUGUGCACGCUCUGUAGUUCUAUGGCCUGGGUGGGCUCUGCCCUCCUGCUGUGGUUCUAUGUCUUUACACACACACUACAACAAAGUCUCAUGGAAUGUAUGUCGCGUUUAACGCAAUGAAAUACAACUUUCAGCAACGGAUCUCUUGGCUCUCGCAUCGAUGAAGAACGCAGCGAAAUGCGAUAAGUAAUGUGAAUUGCAGAAUUCAGUGAAUCAUUGAAUCUUUGAACGCACCUUGCGCCCUUUGGCUAUUCCGAAGGGCAUGCCUGUUUGAGUAUCAUGAACACCUCAACUCUCAUGGCUUGCCGUGAUGUGCUUGGACUUUGGGGGUCUUGUUGGCCUGUGAGCCAGCUCCUCUUAAAUGAAUUAGCUCGCCGGUGUUUGGUGGCGUCACAGGUGUGAUAACUAUCUACGCUUGUGGUUCCCCACCAGGGUAACCUUCAGCAAUGAAGGUUCACCGGAGCUUAUAAAUGUCUCUCCUCAGCGAGGACAGAUUUUGACCAUUUGAUCUCAAAUCAGGUAGGACUACCCGCUGAACUUAAGCAUAUCAA